rnacentral:rRNA from 1 species
CCUACGGGCGGCAGCAGUGGGGAAUAUUGCACAAUGGGGGAAACCCUGAUGCAGCGACGCCGCGUGAGUGAAGAAGUAAUUCGUUAUGUAAAGCUCUAUCAGCAGGGAAGAAAAUGACGGUACCUGAGUAAGAAGCCCCGGCUAACUACGUGCCAACAGACGCGGUAAUACGGAGGGGGCAAGCGUUAUCCGGAUUUACUGGGUGUAAAGGGAGCGUAGACGGCAGUGCAAGGCUGGAGUGAAAGGCGGGGGCGCAACCCCCGGACUGCUCUGGAAACUGUACGGCUGGAGUGCAGGAGAGGUAAGUGGAAUUCCUAGUGUAGCGGUGAAAUGCGUAGAUAUUAGGAGGAACACCAGUGGCGAAGGCGGCUUACUGGACUGUAACUGACGUUGAGGCUCGAAAGCGUGGGGAGCAAACAGGAUUAGAUACCCCUGUAGUC